GAUAGCUCAGCUGGUAGAGCAAUGGACUGUUAAUCCAUUUGUCGGUGGUUCGAGCCCACC
rnacentral:tRNA from 1 species